rnacentral:rRNA from 1 species
UACGUAGGGUGCAAGCGUUGUCCGGAAUCAUUGGGCGUAAAGCGCGCGUAGGUGGCCAUUUAAGUCCGCUGUGAAAGUCCAAGGCUCAACCUUUGAAAGCCGGUGGAUACUGGAUGGCUAGAGUACGGAAGAGGCGAGUGGAAUUCCUGGUGUAGCGGUGGAAUGCGCAGAUAUCAGGAGGAACACCAAUAGCGAAGGCAGCUCGCUGGGACGUUACUGACACUGAGGCACGAAGGUCAGGGGAGCAAACGGG